AGGGGGGGUGGCUGGCCUCGGCAGGUGGCGGCGACUUGCUCUGAUCUAUGCAGGACGGCUACUGCAUUCCAGAAAGAAAAAAAACACCAUGUAAAAAGCUGCUGCUGGGAUCGUGCCACGUGGAUGGCCAGUAAGUUCAAUAAUAUAGCCAACUACUAUCUAUAAUUUAUCUAUAGUCAAUCUAAUAGUCAAUUUAUAUUAUAGUUACCUACAAAACAUUAAUACAUGGUCCCACGUGUCAUGUACAUACUGUGUCUUGGAGUCCGUAUGUAGCUGGCUAUAAAUUAGUAGCCCACCUCUUUUCUCUCUUCUCUUUUAUCUGUUUAAAAUAUAUUUAUAACUGGCUUAUACCUUGUACCUGCUCA
rnacentral:lncRNA from 1 species